rnacentral:tRNA from 1 species
GCGUGUGUGAAAGUGUCGAAUUUAUUAGGAAAAUCGCAGGGGAAACGAUUGGGAUCGAAACGUGGGUUCGAUUCCCAUCACCCGCUCCA